AAUGUAAAUAAAAGAGGGAAACAUGAUUGGACAAUGGACGAAUCGAUCUUAAAAGGCGGCCAAAAAGUUAUUGAAAAGUUUUUGAUACGUUUCGUGUAGUUAAGUGAGUCUCCGUGUCUAGAGAGUCUGGGAAAUAUGACACCCCAGGCCGUAAAAGGCAAAUAAUUCGUAUGCAAAGCUACGCUGUCAAGAAUGAGAUUGGAACUCACAGCUAUGGCCUGGAGUCUCUCCUGCUGUGUUAAAUCCUCCGACAUCCUGGACAUAAAGGAAAUCCUGACGCUGACCCAUGGGCAAGGCCCACAUCACAGGAGAAUCCCAGGAAACUCAAACAGGAAAAAUCUGACAUAGAAUAACAAAUAGAUGAAAAUAACCUCCAAUCAUGUGCAGAGAAAUUACAUGGGUUGAACGUUUUUCUGUAAGGAUUUGGAAUGUGCAUUUAUAACUUGGAAGUACAUGUUAAUUGCAGUAGGCUACAGCACCGUAAAGAUGUGAAAAGAUAGGCUACUAAAGUCAACAGCAGCCAGUAAAAGCUUGUCCCGGGAAAAUACUGAUUAUUAAGGUGAUUUAAAUUCCCCACAGAAAGUCCUGCAAUACAGAAGAGAAAGACAAUGUAGAUAGUAGCUCAGCAUAGUCACACAUGAAUUCAGUUGAGCUAAUGUACAGUGAUACCAAAUCCUACUAGAUGUACUGAUAAGAUACAGAAAAAAGCCUUGGCCCAGGAUACCAGUGUGGAGACGAAAACAAGGUCAACCAGAAAAUGGGUAGAUGUACACAGCAAAGGCCAAGUCAAGGAUGGUACAAUGAUGUCUUUUGUAGCCUUUGGUUUUAUAGAUGUGGGUUUGGCUCGUUCGACAGAGAAGGCCUCUUUUCCUUGAGAAAUGGCUCAGAGGAAAAGUUAGCCAGCUGAUCAGCAGCUUCAUCAGCCCACCCAAGGUGGAGGAGUUGCAAGUUCAUGCCCAAAGAACAAAGUGCCAAAUGUUUAUGGAGCGCCUCUCCCUCCCAUCUCCACUCUUUGUUAACACAUUUUACACCCAGGGAACCACUCACAAAAGAACUGAUCGUGCUAGGCCAAAAUCAGAGCAAUCUUCCUGGGUUACAUGCCAGGAAUACCGGAACUA